CCCUAUGGGGUGCAGCAGGCGAGAAACCUUUGCAAUGUGCGCAAGCACGACAAGGUUAAUCCGAGUGUUUCCUGCUAAAGGAAUCUUUUGUUAGUUGUAAAACCACUGAUGAAUAAGGGGUGGGCAAGUUCUGGUGUCAGCCGCCGCGGUAAAACCAGCACCUCAAGUGGUCAGGAUGAUUAUUGGGCCUAAAGCAUCCGUAGCCUGUUCUGUAAGUUUCCGGUUAAAUCCAUUAGCUCAACUAAUGGGCUGCCGAAAAUACUGCAGAACUAGGGAGUGGGAGAGGUAGACGGUACUCGGUAGGAAGGGGUAAAAUCCUUUGAUCUAUUGAUGACCACCUGUGGCGAAGGCGGUCUACCAGAACACGUUCGACGGUGAGGGAUGAAAGCUGGGGGAGCAAACCGGAUUAGAUACCCGGGUAGUCCCAGCUGUAAACGAUGCAGACUCGGUGAUGCCCUGGCUUGUGGCCAGUGCAGUGCCGCAGGGAAGCCGUUAAGUUUGCCGCCUGGGAAGUACGUACGCAAGUAUGAAACUUAAAGGAAUUGGCGGGGGAGCACCACAAGGGGUGAAGCCUGCGGUUCAAUUGGAGUCAACGCCAGAAAUCUUACCCGAAGAGACAGCAGAAUGAAGGUCAAGCUGGAGACUUUACCAGACAAGCUGAGAAGUAGUGCAUGGCC
rnacentral:rRNA from 1 species